ensembl:misc_RNA 7SK 7SK RNA
GGAUAUGAGGGUGGUCUGGCUGUGAUGUGUGUCACCCUCAUUGAUCACCAGGGUUGAUUCGACUGAUCUGGCUGGCUAGGCAGGUGUCCCCUUCCUCCCUCACUGUUCCAUGCAUGUUCUUCCUGAAGCUGCAUGCUCUGUCAAAGAGUAUGACCAUCCCCAAUAGUUACUUAUAUACCCUUCAGUCAAGGGUAUAUGAGUAACUGUGCUACUAGAAUGGCCAAAAGGCAUAUGAAAAACAGGCUCUUGUCAUAAGUGAAAUGCAAAUUAAACCACAAUUAAACCAAACCAGUUAGAAUGUCUAAGAU